rnacentral:lncRNA from 1 species
AUGCCCUGGAAUCACAGAGACACCUUGGAAUACACAGAAACACCCUGGAAUACACAGAGAUUCCCCAGAAUACACAGAGAUCCCCUGGAACACGCAGAAACAGCCUGGAAUACACUGAUAUCCCCUGGAACAGACAGAGACGCCUUGGAAUACACAGAGAUCCCCUGGAACACGCAGAAACAGCCUGGAAUACACAGAUAUCCCUUGGAACAGACAGAGACGCUUCGGAAUACAGAGAUGUCCUGGAAUACAGAGAGAUCCCCUGAAACAGACAGAGGUGCCCUGGAAUACACAGAGAUCCCCUGGAACACGCAGAGAUCCCCUGGAACACGCAGAGGUGCCCUGGAAUACACAGAGUUCCCCUGGAACACGCAGAAACACCCUGGAAUACACAGAGAUUCCCUAGAACAGAGAGAGGCGCCUUGGAAAACACAGAGAUCCCCUGGAAUACGCAGAAAUACCCUGGAACACACAGAGAUUCCCUGGAGCAGACAGAGGCGCCUCAGAAUACACAGAGAUCCCCUGGAACACACAGAGAUACCCUGGAAUACACAAAGAUCCCCUGGAAUACACAGAGAUCCUCUGGAACAGACAGAGGCAUCCUGGAAUAUACAGAGAUCCCCUGGAAGACACAGAGAUCCCCUGGAAUAUGCAGAGAUCUCCUGGGACAGGCAGAGGCGCCCUGGAAUACAUGGAGAUCCACUGGAAUACACGGAGAUCCCCUGGAAUAUGCAGAGAUCCCCUGGAAUACACAGAGGCACCCUGGAAUACACAGAGAUCCCCUGGAAUAUGCAGAGAUCCCCUGGAAUACGCAGAGAUACCUUGGAAUAUGCAGAUACACCCUGGAACAGACAGAGGCGCUUUGGAAUACACAGAGAUGCACUGGAAUACACAGAGAUCCCCUGGAAUAUGCAGACAUCCCCUGGAAUACGCAGAGAUACCCUGGAACAGACAGAGGUGCCUCAGAAUACACAGAGAUCCCCUGGAACACACAGAGAUCCUUUGGAAUAUGCAGACAUCCCCUGGAACAGACAGAGGCGCCAUGGAAUAUACAGAGAUCUCCUGGAACAUACAGAGGUGCCCUGGAAUACACAGAGAUCCCCUGAAAUACACAGACAUGCCCUGGAACAGACAGAGGUACCCUGGAAUAUACAGAGAUCCCCUGGAACACGCAGAGAUCCCCUGGAAUAUGCAGACAUCCCCUGGAACAGACAGAGGCGUCAUGGAAUAUACAGAGAUCCCCUGGAAUACACAGAGGCACCCUGGAAUACACAGAGAUCCCCUGGAAUACACAGAGGCAUCCUGGAAUACACAGACACCCCCUGGAACACACAGAGGCACCCAGAAUACACAGAGAUCUCCCAGAAUACACAGAGAUCCCUUGGAACACGCAGAGGCGCCCUGGAAUACACAGAGGCACCCUGGAAUACACAGAGAUCCCCUGGAAUACACAGAGGCACCCUGGAAUACACAGACACCCCCUGGAACACACAGAGGCACCCAGAAUACACAGAGAUCUCCCAGAAUACACGGAGAUCCCUUGGAACACGCAGAGGUGCCCUGGAAUACACAGAGGCACCCUGGAAUACACAGAGAUCCCCUGGAAUACACAGAGGCAUCCUGGAAUACACAGACACCCCCUGGAACACACAGAGGCACCCAGAAUACACAGAGGUCUCCCAGAAUACACAGAGAUCCCUUGGAACACGCAGAGGCGCCCUGGAAUACACAGAGCUCCCCUGGGAUGUGCAGAGGCACCUUGGAAUUCACAGAGACACCCUAUAA